AGUGAACGCUGGCGGUAGGCCUAACACAUGCAAGUCGAACGGCAGCACAGUAAGAGCUUGCUCUUACGGGUGGCGAGUGGCGGACGGGUGAGGAAUACAUCGGAAUCUACUUUUUCGUGGGGGAUAACGUAGGGAAACUUACGCUAAUACCGCAUACGACAUACGGGUGAAAGCAGGGGAUCUUCGGACCUUGCGCGAUUGUAUGAGCCGAUGUCGGAUUAGCUAGUUGGCGGGGUAAAGGCCCACCAAGGCGACGAUCCGUAGCUGGUCUGAGAGGAUGAUCAGCCACACUGGAACUGAGACACGGUCCAGACUCCUACGGGAGGCAGCAGUGGGGAAUAUUGGACAAUGGGCGCAAGCCUGAUCCAGCCAUACCGCGUGGGUGAAGAAGGCCUUCGGGUUGUAAAGCCCUUUUGUUGGGAAAGAAAAGCAGCAGGUUAAUACCCCGCUGUUCUGACGGUACCCAAAGAAUAAGCACCGGCUAACUUCGUG
rnacentral:rRNA from 1 species